GACGAACGCUGGCGGCGUGCUUAACACAUGCAAGUCGAACGAUGAAGCCUAGCUUGCUAGGUGGAUUAGUGGCGAACGGGUGAGUAAUACGUGAGUAACCUACCUUUAACUCUGGGAUAAGCCCGGGAAACUGGGUCUAAUACCGGAUACGACCAAUCUCCGCAUGGGGUGUUGGUGGAACGCGUUAUGUAGUGGUUAUAGAUGGGCUCACGGCCUAUCAGCUUGUUGGUGAGGUAACGGCUCACCAAGGCGACGACGGGUAGCCGGCCUGAGAGGGUGACCGGCCACACUGGGACUGAGACACGGCCCAGACUCCUACGGGAGGCAGCAGUGGGGAAUAUUGCACAAUGGGCGCAAGCCUGAUGCAGCGACGCCGCGUGAGGGAUGACGGCCUUCGGGUUGUAAACCUCUGUUAGCAGGGAAGAAGAGAGAUUGACGGUACCUGCAGAGAAAGCGCCGGCUAACUACGUG
rnacentral:rRNA from 1 species